rnacentral:rRNA from 1 species
CGCGGCCUAUCAGCUUGUUGGUGGGGUAACGGCCUACCAAGGCAACGACGGGUAGCUGGUCUGAGAGGACGAUCAGCCACACUGGCACUGAGAUACGGGCCAGACUCCUACGGGAGGCAGCAGUGAGGAAUAUUGCGCAAUGGACGAAAGUCUGACGCAGCGACGCCGCGUGGGGGAGGAAGGCCUUAGGGUCGUAAACCCCUGUCAGAUGGGACGAACCGUAGGUCGAAUAAUACUUGGCCUGCCUGACGGUACCAUCAGAGGAAGCUCCGGCUAACUCCGUGCCAGCAGCCGCGGUAAUACGAAGGUGGCGAGCGUUGUUCGGAUUUACUGGGCGUAAAGGGCUCGUAGGUGGUUUGUCGCGUCGUCUGUGAAAUUCUGGGGCUUAACUCCGGGCGUGCAGUCGAUACGGGCAUAACUUGAGUGCUGUAGGGGUAACUGGAAUUCCUGGUGUAGCGGUGAAAUGCGCAGAUAUCAGGAGGAACACCGACAGCGAAGGCAGCACUCUGGGCCGGUACUGACGCUGAGGAGCGAAAGCAUGGGGAGCAAACAGGAUUAGAUACCCUGGUAGUCCAUGCCGUAAACGUUGGGCACUAGGUGUGGGUCCCAUCCAACGGGAUCCGUGCCGCAGCUAACGCAUUAAGUGCCCCGCCUGGGGAGUACGG